CCGUUAACGAACGAGACCUUAACCUGCUAAAUAGCCCGGGUGGCGUCUGCCGCCCGCUGGCUUCUUAGAGGGACUAUCGGCUCAAGCCGAUGGAAGUUUGAGGCAAUAACAGGUCUGUGAUGCCCUUAGAUGUUCUGGGCCGCACGCGCGCUGCACUGACGGAGCCAGCGAGUACUUCCUUGGCCGAAAGGCCCGGGUAAUCUUGUUAAACUCCGUCGUGCUGGGGAUAGAGCAUUGCAAUUAUCGCUCUUCAACGAGGAAUCCCUAGUAAGCGCAAGUCAUCAGCUUGCGUUGGUUACGUCCCUGCCCUUUGUACACACCGCCCGUCGCUACUACCGAUUGAAUGGAUA
rnacentral:rRNA from 1 species